rnacentral:rRNA from 1 species
AUUGAACGCUGGCGGCAGGCCUAACACAUGCAAGUCGAACGGUAACAGGAAGCAGCUUGCUGCUUCGCUGACGAGUGGCGGACGGGUGAGUAAUGUCUGGGAAGCUGCCUGAUGGAGGGGGAUAACUACUGGAAACGGUAGCUAAUACCGCAUAAUGUCGCAUGACCAAAGAGGGGGAACUUCGGGCCUCUUGCCAUCGGAUGUGCGCAGAUGGGAUUAGCUUGUUGGUGGGGUAACGGCUCACCAAGGCGACGAUCCCUAGCUGGUCUGAGAGGAUGACCAGCCACACUGGAACUGAGACACGGUCCAGACUCCUACGGGAGGCACCAGUGGGGAAUAUUGCACAAUGGGCGCAAGCCUGAUGCAGCCAUGCCGCGUGGAUGAAGAAGGCCUUCGGGUUGUAAAGUACUUUCAGCGGGGAGGAAGGGAGUAAAGUUAAUACCUUCGCUCAUUGACGUUACCCUCAGAAGAAGCACCGGCUAACUCCGUG